rnacentral:rRNA from 1 species
CUACGGGAGGCAGCAGUGGGGAAUAUUGCACAAUGGGCGCAAGCCUGAUGCAGCCAUGCCGCGUGUGUGAAGAAGGCCUUCGGGUUGUAAAGCACUUUCAGCGGGGAGGAAGGCAAUAAGGCUAAUAACCUUAUUGAUUGACGUUACCCGCAGAAGAAGCACCGGCUAACUCCGUGCCAGCAGCCGCGGUAAUACGGAGGGUGCAAGCGUUAAUCGGAAUGACUGGGCGUAAAGCGCACGCAG